AUAUCCUCAACCUUCUCUGUUUCUCAUUGAUCGGAGAAGGCUUGGACUUUGGAGGCUUUUGCUGGCCUCUCUUGAAGCCAGCUCCUCUUAAACGCAUUAGCGGGGGUUUCCUUUUGGUCAAUCCUUGACGUGAUAAGAUAUUUUCUACGUCAAGUCAGCUCGGAACCUGCUUUCUAACCUUUGAGUUACAGCGUAACUCGACCCUCAUAAA
rnacentral:misc_RNA from 1 species